rnacentral:rRNA from 1 species
GACGUAGGGCGCGAGCGUUGUCCGGAUUUAUUGGGCGUAAAGAGCUCGUAGGCGGCUUGUCGCGUCGUCCGUGAAAACCUGCAGCUCAACUGCAGGCUUGCGGUCGAUACGGGCAGGCUAGAGUUCGGUAGGGGAGACUGGAAUUCCUGGUGUAGCGGUGAAAUGCGCAGAUAUCAGGAGGAAUACCGAUGGCGAAGGCAGGUCUCUGGGCUAACACUGACGCUCAUGCACGAAAGCGUGGGGAGCAAACAGG